rnacentral:piRNA from 1 species
UAUUUGCCUAAAUGCUCCUUAGCCUAGGAUC